CUUCCUGGGGAGCAGCCCCUUAGCUGCCAUCAGAGCUGUUUGGUGGGGAGCAGGGGUUCUCUGGGAAGCCCACAGCUCAAAUGAACCUUGACAGGUAAUCCUUCUCCAAAGCAGCAGGUGAGUCGUGAUUAGCGCUGCCAGCUGGAGAAGAAGUGGCCUGGAGAAGAAGUCUCCACUAACUCACUAGGUGUUAAUGGAUGAUCCAUGACAAAGACACGCCAUGGCCAAGCACAUUUUGGAAAGACCGGAUUAAACAACGACGGCCACGCACAUUUUGGAAAGACUGGAUUAAACAACAACUACCUGGCAAACUGGUUUCCUUGCCACAGACUUUCUCAAUGCCUUAAAAUGUUAACACGAGCAAUAAGAAUAAAGAAAAGAUACUCCCCCGAUAACACAACUCCAGAAAGAAGGAGUUCAUUGGGGAAUAAAUCUUCAUACUA